CCGUUGGCGGCGUUCUACCAUGCAGUCGCACGAGAAGCGGGGGCAACUCCGCAAGUAAAGUGGCAGACGGGUGAGUAACACGUGAACAACCUGCCCUCGAGUGUGGAAUAACCCCGCGAAAGCGGGGCUAAUACCGCAUGAUGUCGCUGGAUCGCAUGGUCCGGUGACCAAAGACGCAAGUCACUUGAGGAGGGGUUCGCGGCUGAUUAGCUAGUUGGCGGGGUAACGGCCCACCAAGGCGACGAUCAGUAGCCGGCCUGAGAGGGCGAACGGCCACACUGGAACUGAGACACGGUCCAGACUCCUACGGGAGGCAGCAGUGGGGAAUUUUGCGCAAUGGGCGAAAGCCUGACGCAGCAACGCCGCGUGGAGGAUGAAGGUCUUCGGAUCGUAAACUCCUGUCAGGGGGGACGAAAGCCUUAACGGGUUUGACUGUACCCCCUGAGGAAGCCACGGCUAACUCCGUGCCAGCAGCCGCGGUAAUACGGAGGUGGCAAGCGUUGUUCGGAAUUACUGGGCGUAAAGGGCGCGUAGGCGGCAUUGCAAGUCAGAUGUGAAAGCCCCGGGCUUAACUCGGGAACUGCAUCUGAAACUGCUUUGCUUGAGUCCUGGAGGGGGUAGUGGAAUUCCCAGUGUAGCGGUGAAAUGCGUAGAUAUUGGGAGGAACACCUGCGGCGAAGGCGGCUACCUGGACAGUGACUGACGCUGAUGCGCGAAAGCUAGGGUAGCAAACGGGAUUAGAUACCCCGGUAGUCCUAGCUGUAAACGAUGAGCACUUGGUGUCGGGGGUAUUGAGUCCCCUGGUGCCGGAGUUAACACGUUAAGUGCUCCGCCUGGGGAGUACGGUCGCAAGACUGAAACUCAAAGGAAUUGACGG
rnacentral:rRNA from 1 species